CCUACGGGUGACAGCAGUGGGGAAUAUUGCACAAUGGGGGAAACGCUGAUGCAGCGACGCCGCGUGAGUGAAGAAGUAUUUCGGUAUGGAAAGCUCUAUCAGCAGGGAAGAAAAUGACGGUACCUGAGUAAGAAGGCCCGGAUAACUACGUGACAGCAGGCGCGGUAAGACGUAGGGGGCAAGCGUUAUCCGGAGUUACUGGGUGUAAAGGGAGCGUAGACGGCAGCACAAGUCUGGAGUGAAAUGCCGGGGCUUAACCCCCGAACUGCCUUGGAAACUGUGCAGCUAGAGUUGAGGAGAGGUAAGUGGAAUUCGUAGUGUAGCGGUGAAAUGCGUAGAUAUUAGGAGGAACCCCAGUGGCGAAGGCGGCUUACUGGACUGUAACUGACGUUGAGGCUCGAAAGCGUGGGGAGCAAACAGGAUUAGAUACCCGAGUAGUC
rnacentral:rRNA from 1 species